CUUUGCUCCGUUUUGCAGCUCAGAAACGGCACGGAGAAGCAAGUAAAACUGGGCAAUCUGUUGAGAAUAGGAUCUCUUCAGUUCUCAAAUCUAACCUGUUACCUCGAAAUGAAUUUAAGCAGUUUCCUGCACGGGCGAAACUGCAGGCAUGAUAUUAAAUAUGUCAAAUUACAAUCUACCCUUUGGCAGAUUUUCUUUUCUCUCUGCAGAAACUCUAUAGAACUACUUGAUGACUUUUGCAGGCACACAAAACUGGUCAGGAUAUUACGCCUGGAGGACCAGUCCUUUUUUGAAAGCCGCUCUUCGGUAAGCAUUGAACCUAUUGGCCUUCUAGAACAAGGAAUUGUCCUGGAAAGGAUAUUGCAGAUCAGCACAUUCCAACGUAUACGACGACGCCCACAGGGACGCAUGCAUGUCAGGGGCCACUGCCACCAAGGUGCAGUGCGAAAAGACAACUGUUUGAGAACUUACUGCUGAAGUUAAAUAGUGGUCCAUUCGGAUUUUAGACGUACCUGGUGCCUCAACUGCAUGCAAGUAUAGAGUGUAGUGUCUGAAAAGCACAGCAGGUCAGGCAGCAUCAGAUGUUCAGGAGAAUUGACGUUUUGGACAUAAGCCCUUCAUCAGGAAUCUCAUAGACAAAUGCUCUGGCCACUGGGAGAUGAGGACACUUUUUCAAGUCGCUAAAGAACGAAGAUGGAAAGACAAAGAAUUGGUUUGAGAUGCAACAUCAAUUACACCGGAGACCCGGGUGUAACCUCUGAUUUCACAUGUUCCACACACUUUUAAAUGUCCCCUGCUUCACAAAGGCACGAAAUCCACCCAUUAUGGAGACAGAAAGAUUGUGCCAGGCUAUUUGGACGCUUGGCAUUUGCCACUUCCAGUCUCUGAGCAAGAGACAGGGACUUAAAAAUGCUGAUCAAAAACAAAAGGAAGACACUUGCAAAAGAGAACAAUGCAGCUUCAAACAGACUAUUUGCCCAAUUGCUGCUGCUCUCUGUGCAAUUUUGAGACAAUUUCCUAUUUGAAUGCCCUCUGUAUUAUCACAGAUCCUACAAAUAAUGCAAAUUUGAACAUUUAUCUACAUCCCUUUCAUAAGGGACAAUUAUAGAUUCUUCGCUGGCCAUGCAAAACAUUCCCCAAAAAGGCAAUACCUUUUUUUCCGAUGAUAAACAAGAACAAAACUUGCAUGUGGUCUGACUGAUCGAAGUUCAUCUAUGACACUAAAAGUGGAUUAAGACAGGCUCACAUAUUUCAGCAAGGCUGUAAGUUUACUUGGACGCAGCAGUAACAGGGAUUGCAGAAAAGAGCAUCAAACAUUGUCCCUGCAAAGUUGGUACAGCUUUCACACAUUGCAAACCCACUAGCCCUGGAGUUGGAUUUAACACUUAGCACUGAACAUGACAUAAUCAUGAGAACGCCCAAUAAACCUCCCUUGAUCCAAUUUAUGUAAAAAACAGACACUUGUUUUUAAAUUUUGUACAAAAGUAACUGACAACAAGGUAGUCACGAAACGUUAGUGAUAUAUCCAAACUAACUUUGGUUAUUUCAAAUUGAAACGAUUUACAUGUGUCUAUUUUCUUCCAAGUUUUGGUCAAUAUUGAGGAGCACCAAUUCAUCAGCCUAGUGAGGACAGUAUGGGGUAAUCAUCGGGAGAUAUCCUUGGUCAUAUUUUACUCAAAGCCUGGAGAAUGCAUGCCGUCCAGAGCUAACGUCAAGGACACCAAGAGCAACUCCCUGUGGACUGUGUAUCACUGUGCGUGCAACUCUGGUGGGCCUGUCUUGCAAGUGGGACAGGUCCUAUCCACAGAAAAUGAUGGUAGUUUCUGCGAUAUUGUCGGGAGGUCACGUCACGUCAUGUCAAACGAUUGAAGGUUCUGUUAGAUGUUGCAACAUUGGUCCAGUUUGCAUCUCAGGAUGGAUACGGAGAAGAAAGUCAAACUGGGCAAGAUGUUCCAGUGUCCAUUCAGGUCUUAAACCACAAUCUUGCUAAAAUAUUUUGCUGCAGUGGGGAAAGUGCCUGUAUUUUCACAAAUGCAAGGACGAAUUAAAAGAUGUUAA